rnacentral:sRNA from 1 species
GCAUACUGUUACCAUUUCCUCAUUAUUGAGUCACUCAGGUGGACUUCAGAUUUUAGAAAUAAAAUAUCAGUCUGAUAUGGUCAAACUCCUCUGUACAACCCAAAUGUGAAUCUAGUCAGCAUGAUUAAAAAAUUAAUUAAUCUAAUACAUGAUAAAAUGA